AAUGACACAACUAAUGGCAAAGAUGGUCCACUCAAACGGCAAAGAGUCACCGCAACUGAAGCCAUCCCCCUUCCCGUGAGCCUAGGGACUCUUUGCCGCCUGCCUCGACCCGUUUGCCGUAAGCUUGAUCCGUAGGCGGAUGGCAUAGGGGACGGCCUUCUAAGAGCUGAUGCCCCAUCUCCUCACCCCAUCUGGCCUCUCCCCAUUCUCACUUUCCCAGAUCCACACGUAUGUACCUGUCCUCCCCACCCCCCCUAAUGGAUGGAUCCUGAUGGAGGAGGAGAAGAAGGGAUGGAUCCCUCACACCCCGUGCUUCUUCUCCACGGAUACGCGCCUAGACGGAGGAGCAGAGUGCGUGCGUCCUCCACGGAUCCUGCAUUCUUCUCCAUGGAUCCACGAUGGAGGAGUAUAUUCGCCUUGAUCCGCCGUCGUUUCUCUGAUUCCGGUCCGCCUCGUGCGGAUCCCGCCAUUACGCUCGCUGAUUUCGUGUUUAUUCGGCAGGAACCAGCCGCUGCGGAGGAAGAAGUUGUACGCUCGCCACCGCCCUUCACCACGUCUCGUGCCUCCUCUCACACCGGUGCCGCGACCUGCCUCAUCGUCUGGAUCCCCUCGAUCUGGACAUGUCGUGCUACAUCCCUCAACCUCAAGGUAAGUGGGUUGUGUAAGCUGCGUCCACCAUGCUCCACUCCUUGCAUGGCCUCUGCUGCCUGAAUGCGACCACGGCCGAUCCGUCCACGUGCGGACGCUCCAGCCUUAACAGGAUCUCCUUCCACUUGCUGGCGUACUCCUCACGUGGACGCCCGCCACGAUCUGGAUGUCACACCGCCUCAGCAGCCUAGCAAUACCCAUGAAUUAGGUAGUUGUUAGUACAAUUAACCAUGUCGAAUUCAGUACGUUUUUCAACCCUUUUGAAUGAAGAGAUGAAUCUGCCUCUGGUGGUGGGAGAAAGACAAUGCCAGUUGGUGCUAUUGUUGUUACACCCAUGACGCAAGCUCCGGUGUCGCCGUGAUGUUGGUUCGGGAAGAGGAUGCAAACACUACAACUCUGAACUCCACAACGUACAUUCCUCUCAUUUUGUUGCUAUUGUAGUGGAGCCCCUAGGAUGCAUGCAGCACAGACGUUGGUUCUUCCAAUCAAGAAACACGAAAUCUGCCACCGUCGUUUCUCUAUGUGUGCUGGUAUGUUUUGUGUGUGAUUCAAAGUUUGACAACUGGCAUGAUGUGAGAAAAAACAUCGGUGGAUACCUCUCAUCAAUUGCUCAUAGUUGGUUUGUUACUUUAGUGUUUAGACCGAUGAGUGAAUCUACAAGUAAUGUUAAUAAAACUGUAACCUUCAUUGCAGGACAAGUUCUACCUGAAUCUCAUGUAUUUGUCUUCACAUAAUGUCCUCUUAGUUAGAUUGUCACAUGCAGCAAGGUGAGCAACCAAUCAUAAUCGUGAGAUUUCUUAUCUAAGUGCUGAAGACAACUACUACGCAAGUUCAUGUAUGUAUAACUUCUAAUUGCUUAUCUUAGAGAAGACCCAGUUGUAGGUAAGCUACACGACCAAUUUCAUCUUAGUAAAGUUUUCAUUCAACUUUUCUAUUUGGAUUGUAUAUUUCCGUUACUAUCUCUUCUACCUUAUUUUAGCGAAUGUAAUUAGCUGCGAUGGCAUUCCACAACUCUCUAUGUUUUUAGUCUUUUUAUUUACUAGCAUUGUGUUCCACUUCAGGAUUCAAAGAAUCACAAAUGCACCGUGAGACUAUUAUGCCCAUAAUUAGUCAAGAGCCUAAGACAUGCUAAAACUUUUUUUCAGCUAAGAUAGUUAUGAAAAAAGGACUUUGUUAAUUAGUACUAAAAUGCAUAACAUAGAUUCUAGAAUCUUAUUUUUUGAUGUUUAUAAUAUGAACAACAUGAUUUUUUCCAGGUCAUAAAUUUCUUGGAAAAAUGCGACAUCGAUGCUAGAAUGCCAAUGAGAAUAUGUCUGGUGAUGGGGAUUAUUUUGCAUGAUGAUGGUGUCGUGGCGUCUGCACUU
rnacentral:lncRNA from 1 species